AUUGAACGCUGGCGGCAUGCCUUACACAUGCAAGUCAAACGGUAACAGGUCUUCGGAUGCUGACGAGUGGCGAACGGGUGAGUAAUACAUCGGAACGUGCCCGAUCGUGGGGGAUAACGAAGCGAAAGCUUUGCAAAUACCGCAUAAGAUCUACGGAUGAAAGCAGGGGACCGCAAGGCCUUGCGCGAACGGAGCGGCCGAUGGCAGAUUAGGUAGUUGGUGGGAUAAAAGCUUACCAAGCCGACGAUCUGUAGCUGGCCUGAGAGGACGACCAGCCACACUGGGACUGGGACACGGCCCAGACUCCUACGGGAGGCAGCAGUGGGGAAUUUUGGACAAUGGGCGCAAGCCUGAUCCAGCCAUGCCGCGUGCAGGAUGAAGGCCUUCGGGUUGUAAACUGCUUUUGUACGGAACGAAAAGACUCUGGUUAAUACCUGGGGUCCAUGACGGUACCGUAAGAAUAAGCACCGGCUAACUACGUGCCAGCCGCCGCCGUAACAC
rnacentral:rRNA from 1 species